GACGAACGCUGGCGGCGUGCUUAACACAUGCAAGUCGAACGGAAAGGCCCUGCUUUUGUGGGGUGCUCGAGUGGCGAACGGGUGAGAAACACGUGAGUAACCUGCCCUUGACUUUGGGAUAACUUCAGGAAACUGGGGCUAAUACCGGAUAGGAGCUCCUGCUGCAUGGUGGGGGUUGGAAAGUUUCGGCGGUUGGGGAUGGACUCGCGGCUUAUCAGCUUGUUGGUGGGGUAGUGGCUUACCAAGGCUUUGACGGGUAGCCGGCCUGAGAGGGUGACCGGCCACAUUGGGACUGAGAUACGGCCCAGACUCCUACGGGAGGCAGCAGUGGGGAAUAUUGCACAAUGGGCGGAAGCCUGAUGCAGCAACGCCGCGUGCGAGAUGACGGCCUUCGGGUUGUAAACCGCUUUCGCCUGUGACGAAGCGUGAGUGACGGUAAUGGGUAAAGAAGCACCGGCUAACUACGUG
rnacentral:rRNA from 1 species